UAUCCUCCAUUGACGAUAGUUUUGACAAGAAACCGCGCAUUCCUGUACCUCCAGCUCCAUGACGUGGGGUCGUCGUGACUGAGCUCCGUUAUAUACUGUAUCUUGAAUUAUCUAAAGACUUGUAUGUUUAGCAAAUUGAUGGUUGUCAACCGUUGUAUAUGCCGACAUUUUUAUUGAGGAGUAUGAUACUGGCGAUGAUGAUAAUCAUUUUAUCAGAGUAUGGACCUAUGACCAUUGACCAGAGCCGCAGCCAGGUCAUGUCCACCAGCUAGCAUACGGCUUGUUUACGCAGCUACAUCUUGCAUUACAGUGAAAACAACAGUGUGAUGUUGUAUACCAGAGAUGAUCCAUAUUAAGUUUUCGUUUGGAGUGGAUUUGCCAAUUUGAUCUGAAAUGAUAUGAUGAUCAUGGCCCUGGAAAGUGUGAGUGCUGCGUGUGUUACUUUCCAUAGGCAAGACCCCCGUGGAAUUCCGCAACUGGCUGAUGGAGAGGGUAUGGUUUACGUGCAGACUGGUGACUGAAGGAGUAACCAGAGAAUUGGAGAUGGAACACCCCCCCCCCUGGAAAAAAAACUGAGGUCAUUAGAAAACAUGCUCCACAUUUCAAGCAAGAAGGACAGAUUUUGAAAUCCGACGGGACAAUCGUUAAAACAGUUCUUCUAAGAUAGAGUGGGCUGGCUACAAAGAUCAACGAGGUGGACCAUGAACAAGGCGCAGAUUAUGUAGUUGCUAUGC